GACGAAGGGGGCUAGCGUUGUUCGGAAUUACUGGGCGUAAAGCGCGUGUAGGCGGUUGUCCAAGUUGGAUGUGAAAGCCUUGAGCUUAACUCAAGAAAUGCAUUCAGGACUGGAUGACUAGAGGACCGGAGAGGAUAGUGGAAUUCCCAGUGUAGUGGUGAAAUACGUAGAGAUUGGGAAGAACACCAGUGGCGAAGGCGGCUAUCUGGACGGUUUCUGGACGCUAAGACGCGAAAAGCGUGGGGGAGCAAACAGGAUUAGAAAACCCC
rnacentral:rRNA from 1 species